CCUANGGGUGGCAGCAGUGAGGAAUUUUGCGCAAUGGGGGAAACCCUGACGCAGCAACGCCGCGUGAGUGAUGAAGGCUUUCGGGUCGUAAAGCUCUGUCAAGUGGGAAGAAGUUGUGUAUGGCUAAUAUCUGUGCACAUUGACGGUACCACUGAAGGAAGCACCGGCUAACUCCGUGCCAGCAGCCGCGGUAAUACGGAGGGUGCAAGCGUUAUUCGGAUUUACUGGGCGUAAAGGGCGCGUAGGCGGCUUGAUAAGUCAGUCGUGAAAGCCCGGGGCUCAACCCCGGAAGUGCGAUUGAAACUAUCAGGCUUGAGUAUGGUAGAGGGAAGUGGAAUUCCAGGUGUAGCGGUGAAAUGCGUAGAUAUCUGGAGGAACACCGGUGGCGAAGGCGACUUCCUGGACCAAUACUGACGCUGAUGCGCGAAGGUGUGGGUAGCAAACAGGAUUAGAUACCCUANUANUC
rnacentral:rRNA from 1 species